GCCGAUACAUAUUGUUUAGUUCGUAUAUUCAUUAUACAUCGUCUGUAUAAGAUGCUACACUACACCACAGAGUAGAUGGCUACAUCCUACACCUGUGGCAGUAUAAAGAGCGAAAAAUUGCAUCAGAUCAGAGGUAUCCAACGUGUGCAGUCACGGGCCUUGUUCACAUGUCUAGCACAAGUGCACAACGGUGUAAACUUUGUGUAAACAAUGAGAUUGAUUAAGAAUCUCUAACAGAUCUUACGAGAAUCUAUCUGUGUUGAAGCUUGUCAAAACUGCAAUAAACAUUGCUAUAAGUGUGAAACUAUUGACUUCUAAAGUGACAUUAUUGAAUACGUAC